AUUGAACGCUGGCGGCAGGCCUAACACAUGCAAGUCGAACGAGUGGCGGACGGGUGAGUAAUGUCUGGGGAACUGCCCGAUGGAGGGGGAUAACUACUGGAAACGGUAGCUAAUACCGCAUACCAUCGGAUCAGCCCAUAUGGGAUUAGCUAGUAGGUGGGGUAACGGCUCACCAAGUCGACGAUCCCUAGCUGGUCUGAGAGGAUGACCAGCCACACGGGAACUGAGACACGGCCCAGACUCCUACGGGAGGCAGCAGUGGGGAAUAUUGAACAAUGGGCGCAAGCCUGAUGCAGCCAUGCCGCGUGUAUGAAGAAGGCCUUAGGGUUGUAAAGUACUUUCAGCGGGGAGGCGUUACCCGCAGAAGAAGCACCGGCUAACUCCGUGCCAGCAGCCGCGGUAAUUC
rnacentral:rRNA from 1 species